GAUGAACGCUAGCUACAGGCUUAACACAUGCAAGUCGAGGGGCAGCAUGAACUUAGCUUGCUAAGUUUGAUGGCGACCGGCGCACGGGUGAGUAACACGUAUCCAACCUGCCGAUGACUCGGGGAUAGCCUUUCGAAAGAAAAGAUUAAUACCCGAUGGCAUAGUUCUUCCGCAUGGUAGAACUAUUAAAGAAUUUCGGUCAUCGAUGGGGAUGCGUUCCAUUAGGUUGUUGGCGGGGUAACGGCCCACCAAGCCUUCGAUGGAUAGGGGUUCUGAGAGGAAGGUCCCCCACAUUGGAACUGAGACACGGUCCAAACUCCUACGGGAGGCAGCAGUGAGGAAUAUUGGUCAAUGGACGAGAGUCUGAACCAGCCAAGUAGCGUGAAGGAUGACUGCCCUAUGGGUUGUAAACUUCUUUUAUACGGGAAUAAAGUGAGGCACGUGUGCCUUUUUGUAUGUACCGUAUGAAUAAGGAUCGGCUAACUCCGUG
rnacentral:rRNA from 1 species